rnacentral:rRNA from 1 species
GUCGACGGUAACAGCGAGAGCUUGCUUCUCGCUGACGAGUGGCGGACGGGUGAGUACGCGUAGGAUCUGCCCCAGUAGUGGGGGACCACCCGGGAAACUUCGGGCUAUCCCGCAUACGCCUACGGGGAAAAGAUGCCCUCUCCUUGGAAGCUUGUCACUAUUGGGAUGAGCUUGCGUCGGAUUAGCUAGUUUGGUAGGGUAAAAGGCCUACCCAAGGCGACGAUCCCGUAGCUGGUCUGAGAGAACGACCCAGCCACACUGGGACUGAGACACGCCCCAGACUCUCUACGGGAGGGCAGCAGUGGGGAAUAUUGCACAAUGGGGGCACCCCUGAUGCAGCAAUGCCGCGUGUGUGAAGAAGGCUUGCGGGUUGUAAAGCACUUUCAAUUGGGAAGAAAAGAUGAGGGUGAAUAGCCCUUGUUCUUGACGUUACCUUUAGAAGAAGCACCGGCUAACUCCGUGCCAGCAGCCGCGGUAAUACGGAGGGUGCGAGCGUUAAUCGGAAUUACUGGGCGUAAAGCGCGCGUAGGCGGUUUAGUCAGUCAGAUGUGAAAGCCCUGGGCUCAACCUGGGAACUGCAUUUGAUACUGCUGAACUGGAGUAUGGUAGAGGGAAGUGGAAUUCCGGGUGUAGCGGUGAAAUGCGUAGAUAUCCGGAGGAACACCAGUGGCGAAGGCGACUUCCUGGACCAAUACUGACGCUGAGGUGCGAAAGCGUGGGUAGCAAACAGGAUUAGAUACCCUGGUAGUCCACGCUGUAAACGGUGUCAACUAGCCGUUGGGAGCUUUAUGUUCUUAGUGGCGCAGCUAACGCGAUAAGUUGACCGCCUGGGGAGUACGGCCGCAAGGUUAAAACUCAAAGGAAUUGACGG